GAUGAACGCUGGCGGCGUGCCUAAUACAUGCAAGUCGAGCGAACAGACGAGGAGCUUGCUCCUCUGACGUUAGCGGCGGACGGGUGAGUAACACGUGGAUAACCUACCUAUAAGACUGGGAUAACUUCGGGAAACCGGAGCUAAUACCGGAUAAUAUAUUGAACCGCAUGGUUCAAUAGUGAAAGACGGUUUUGCUGUCACUUAUAGAUGGAUCCGCGCCGCAUUAGCUAGUUGGUAAGGUAACGGCUUACCAAGGCAACGAUGCGUAGCCGAGCUGAGAAGGUGAACAGGCACACUGGAAACGAGAAGAGGUCCAGACUACUACGGGAUGCACAAGUAGAGAAACUUCCGCAAUAGGCGAAAGCCGGACGGAGCAACGGCGCGUGAGUGAUGAAGGGCUUGCGAUCGAAAAACUCUGUUAUUAGGGAGGAACAAAUGUGUAAGUAUAUAUGCACGUCUUGAAGGUACCUAAUCAGAAAGCCAGGGAUAAAGCCGUG
rnacentral:rRNA from 1 species